rnacentral:rRNA from 1 species
GGAAUAUUGGACAAUGGGUUAGCGCCUGAUCCAGCCAUCCCGCGUGAAGGACGACGGCCCUAUGGGUUGUAAACUUCUUUUGUAUAGGGAUAAACCUACUCUCGUGAGAGUAGCUGAAGGUACUAUACGAAUAAGCACCGGCUAACGCCGUGCCAGCAGCCGCGGUAAUACGGAGGGUGCAAGCGUUAUCCGGAUUUAUUGGGUUUAAAGGGUCCGUAGGCGGGCUUGUAAGUCAGUGGUGAAAUCUCAUAGCUUAACUAUGAAACUGCCAUUGAUACUGCAGGUCUUGAGUAAAUUUGAAGUGGCUGGAAUAAGUAGUGUAGCGGUGAAAUGCAUAGAUAUUACUUAGAACACCAAUUGCGAAGGCAGGUCACUAAGAUUUAACUGACGCUGAUGGACGAAAGCGUGGGGAGC